rnacentral:rRNA from 1 species
AGAGUUUGAUCCUGGCUCAGAAUGAACGCUGGCGGCAGGCCUAACACAUGCAAGUCGAACGCACCUUCGGGUGAGUGGCGGACGGGUGAGUAACGCGUGGGAACAUACCCUUUGGUACGGAAUAGUCCUGGGAAACUGGGGGUAAUACCGUAUGUGCUCUUCGGAGGAAAGAUUUAUCGCCAAAGGAUUGGCCCGCGUUGGAUUAGGUAGUUGGUGGGGUAAUGGCCUACCAAGCCGACGAUCCAUAGCUGGUUUUAGAGGAUGAUCAGCCACACUGGGACUGAGACACGGCCCAGACUCCUACGGGAGGCAGCAGUGGGGAAUCUUAGACAAU